rnacentral:rRNA from 1 species
UACGUAGGGUGCGAGCGUUGUCCGGAUUUAUUGGGCGUAAAGAGCGUGUAGGCGGCCCGGUAAGUCCGCUGUGAAAGUCGGGGGCUCAACCCUCGAAUGCCGGUGGAUACUGUCGGGCUAGAGUGCGGAAGAGGCGAGUGGAAUUCCUGGUGUAGCGGUGAAAUGCGCAGAUAUCAGGAGGAACACCAAUGGCGAAGGCAGCUCGCUGGGACGGUAUUGACGCUGAGACGCGAAAGCGUGGGGAGCAAACAGG